CUUGCACAUUCCGAUCAUCGUCUAUCCUGUAGGGAAGUCAGGGGAGGAACUCAAGGCAGGAAGCUGGAGUCAGGGGCUGAACAGGGACCAUGGAGGAAUGCUGCUUAGCGGCUUGCUCAGUCUGCUUUCUAAUAAUACCCCAGGUCUACCUUCCCAGGAGCAGCACCAUCCACAGUGAACUGGGCCCUCCCCCAACAAUCACCAAUGAAGACAAUGCCCCACUUAUCCACAGGCCAAUCUGACGGAGCCCCACUUAUCCACAGGCCAAUCUGACGGAGCCUCACUUAUCCACAGGCCAAUCUGACGGAGCCUCACUUAUCCACAGGCCAAUCUGACGGAGCCCCACUUAUCCACAGGCCAAUCUGAUGGAGCCCCACUUAUCCACAGGCCAAUCUGACGGAGCCCCACUUAUCCACAGGCCAAUCUGACGGAGCCCCACUUAUCCACAGGCCAAUCUGAUGGAGUCCCACUUAUCCACAGGCCAAUCUGACGGAGCCCCACUUAUCCACAGGCCAAUCUGACGGAGCCCCACUUAUCCACAGGCCAAUCUGACGGAGCCCCACUUAUCCACAGGCCAAUCUGACGGAGCCCCACUGAUCCACAGGCCAAUCUGAUGGAGUCCCACUUAUCCACAGGCCAAUCUGAUGGAGUCCCACUUAUCCACAGGCCAAUCUGAUGGAGGCGUUUUCUUAAUUGAGGCUCCCUCGUCCCAGAUGACUCC
rnacentral:lncRNA from 1 species